UUGGAGGGCAAGUCUGGUGCCAGCAGCCGCGGUAAUUCCAGCUCCAAUAGCGUAUAUUAAAGUUGUUGCAGUUAAAAAGCUCGUAGUUGGAUUUCGGGAUCAAGGGAUCGGUCAUGCCUUGGUAUGUACUGGUCUUAUUGGUUCUCACCUUCUAAAGAACCAUGAUGUCAUUCAUUUGAUGUUAUGGGGAAUUAGGACUGUUACCUUGAAAAAAUUAGAGUGUUUAAAGCAAGCUUACGCUUGAAUACAUUAGCAUGGAAUAAUGAAAUAGGACAUCAGAUUCUAUUUUGUUGGUUUCUAGGAUCGAUGUAAUGAUUAAUAGGGAUAGUUGGGGGCAUUAGUAUUCAAUUGUCAGAGGUGAAAUUCUUGGAUUUAUUGAAGACUAACUACUGCGAAAGCAUUUGCCAAGGAUGUUUUCAUUAAUCAAGAACGAAAGUUAGGGGAUCGAAGACGAUCAGAUACCGUCGUAGUCUUAACCAUAAACUAUGCCGACUAGGGAUCGGAUGAUGUUAAUUUUUUAAUGACUCAUUCGGCGCCUUACGGGAAAC
rnacentral:rRNA from 1 species